GGCGGUCUUCGGUAGUGGCUGCCGGACACCCACAAGGUCCGAUCCGGCAGCUUCGAUCGAUGGCCGUA
rfam:Mycobacterium sp. NE-TNMC-100812 PROKKA_contig000121, whole genome shotgun sequence.